UCUCCUUGGGGGUGGCAGGGAGUUAAAAGGGGCCCAGUGCCUCAAAAAAGACCCUGAAAGGGACUUGGCUGCAGGACUGAGGGACCUCAAAGUCUGCGCAGAAGUCCAAACGCUCAGUGAGGCCACAAGAUCUAAGAACCGAGCGACCAGCACUCUCAGAGCUGACCUUCUUAACGACUGAAGGUCAGAAGAGGCAGAUGGCAAAGAUAAGAGAAACACCAGAUGGUUUUGAAAGAAGGAUCCAGAAGCCAAAUACUGAAGGACCCAAGAGCACCUGCUGAGCAUCCAUGGUGCUGAAGGGCUUCACGCCAUCUGGGCUCGUGGAAACCCCGAGAGGUAGGGCAGUCUAGUCCACUCUUGAGGAAACGCAGAUUCAGAGGGCGGAAGGAACCUGAUGUAACCAAACCAGAACACACAGAACCUUCUUCAUGUGGUCUCCAAUGUGCCCGGUCCUCUCUGGAAAGAAGACAAUGCCUUCAGGGAAAGGCCAUGCUGGUUCCAACGUGCUGCCUCGGGGUAAGCCACGGUUAGCCGUGUGUGCAUCUUGCCAGGAGUGGCAAGCUUGAGGACAGGCACUUCAAGCCACGAUUAGAGACCCAUUUCAGAGACAGGAACGGGGAGACACUUGCCCUCCACCGCUUGCAAGGAGUGGUUUUCUACGGUAUCUCCACAUCUGACCAGUUUGAACCACAAAUUGAUACAUUUCGUAAGUCUGUUUCUUCAAACACAUUUUAAAACGAAGUCACCUUUAAGACUCUACUGAAUUUUCGGGUGAAAUAAAUGAAGGAUUCUUGGUUUAGGAGAGCCCUGAUUAAUCGUUUCCAGGGUGGCUGCUACGUGGCCCAGAUUAAUCAGCUAGAGUUUGGUUAAUGAGGCUUUAUACAAAUAUUUCUGCUUUUGACUACAUGUCACCUGAAAGGCAAAGAUCUAAACAGAGGCCUGAGAGCAUGGAGUCAUUUGUGCUGGCUGACGGAUUCUGGAGCCUCCUGCUUCUUACAGGCCCUUUCUUUUCCGGGUUACUGGUUGUAACACCUCCUUCCACGGCACAUUUGGGUGAGCCUGAGAACGGUCAGAGAGUUUUAGAAACGAGUCGGUUUACAGGAAGACGUGGUGGCCGUUCUAUGUCAUUUGAGGUUCUAACUCAUAAAGUCGCCAUAGUCUUUUAGGGGAAAGAGCACAGUCUAGUUGGAAGUACAUACAAAAGCAUUUUAAGCACUUUGGCUGAAGAAGGAUGUAGAAAUGGAGACAUGGGAAUGUUCAGCUAAAAGUGCUCUACACAGUUUGUAUUUGGCUAUUGAGUGGGCCAUGCCAUUUGACUGCUCUAUUUAUCACUCCCACUGGUUUGUUUACACUGACAAUGACAUGAUUUUUAUUCUUUGAUAUCCAAUAAUAGUAAUCCAUUUGCUGAAUGCCCACUAUGUAUGGGCCACUGUGCUGAUUUAUAUGAGCCAGUUCCAUUUUGAUCUCCACAGCCCAAGAGGACAGGAUAUUACCCCCAUUUCUCAGAGAAGUGAGGCAAGGGGAAGUUACAUGACUUGCCCAAGACACAUGGCAAGGAGGUGGCAAGGCCAGGACGGGAACACUGUAGGUGCAGCUGCAUAGUCCCCACACCUUCUGCCCACCAUGUACCCAGAAGGAUGACCUCAGGGAGGGCUACCUCCUUGUGUCAGACACAUGAACGUGGUUAUCACUUACUACCUAGCAAAUGGGCACUUUUCCUACCCCUUACGUUUGUUGGGGCUUAAGGUUUUUGUCUUCAAAGGUAAUUUACCUUUUAACUGACUGCCUCACGUAUCUGGCACAGCCCUACGGAGGAACAGAGAUAAUGAAGUGGUUACUGAGGACCCAUGGCCUUUCUCAGGCGCAUCUCUAUUUAGCAUCUCUCUCGGAAGAAGAGGAUUAGAGGAGAACGUUCCAAGAAAAACAUGAGAUAUGACACUAAUAUAAUCAGGUUAUUUUUAGGACAAACACAUCAGGAGUUAUAUAUCCAAACAAAUGUGCUCCUCUUCUAAGCAGUCACUGCAGAGGGCUAUAAACGUAUCCCAGCAAUACUGCCCUUGCCUCACACAGCUCUGGAAUUUUCCUUUGGCAGAGACGUCCACAGCCAAGUUUUGACCCAUGCAAUGAAGACAGUUACUAUUUUAUGGCUACUCCUUGGUUUAGAGCAGCUCUGGUAUUUUGUUUCCUCGGCUCUGGCCUCUCUCAUCCGCGAGACCAGGCUUGGAAGGACUUUGGGCCUCCUUCAGAAACAAAGUCUCUACCGUAGGAAGGAGACCUGGUGCUGGAGUCCUCACCGACGCCGCGUCAGGCACCCGGAGAACUCGUGCACGGCGGCUCCUUCUGUGGGGUCGUGUGACUCAGCGCACAGACACGGGUCUUGUCUCUUUUGGACUCAAGUAUAAGCAACAUUAUAUUGCAUCACGGACGACUACAAUAAAAGUAUGCCAUGUCUUUCCGUGGGGGCAGUUUGGAGAACUCUGCAUUUUUGUUUUUCUUUCCAGUUUCCCUGAUUCUGGUUCCUACAAAAGGGGAGGAAGAAGCAGCAAAGGCCUUGAAAUGUUAACUCCUUUCAAGCUGACUUCUCCCACUGUUUAAACUUCGCCAUCUCACUUCUUUUAAAGAUAAGAAGUCUUAACAGGCUGUUAAAGUUGGGACUUGCUCUUGCUCUCGAGCUAUCCUCCCAUUACACCAUAAAGCUAAUUAAGAGGUGGGGAAACCCCAGAAUGCACAGCUGUGUUGUUUGCUUCCCCUAUAAAGGUCCAUUCAGUGUUUCAGAAGCCCCCGAUAUGGGAGCUCAGGCCUUGCUCUGACUCUGACCCUGACCAUGAUGAGGGAUAUACAUUGGCCUCUGAAAAGGAAGCAUCUCCUGGUUGUUUCCCCCACUUGCCUCUGUGGACGGACCUGAAAAGUAAGAUGCCCUUGAAACUACGCUCUACUCGACUCUUCAACUGCUGCCAGGAGACAACUUUCCUGUGUAGACACUCGAGAUUCUAAAUGCGGGUGUGGCAGUCCUAAAGGCAGAGUGUCAGUGUGGGAGUCACUUCCUGGGAGGAAAGCAGGUGGCUUUACCAAAGGCAUCAGCUCUCUCCAAUCUCCAGGGUACUGUUUAGAGUCCUGAAAAGUAAUUUGCUCUGGGAUCCCAGGCCAAGAAACUAAAUGCAGUUCUGACUCUCGGAUUAAGUCCUACUGCAAAGUAAUCCCCGGCAGUAGUGGAGAGGGGUGCUUUGUCCUUUUGCCACACUGCUGUGCACAGCACGGUGCUGCACGCUGGCACGCUGGAGACGCAGCAGUGCACAAGGCAGAUGAGGUCUCCACCCUUGAUGAGAGGCUCCUGGAUCUGGCGGAUCUCAUCAGCUUCCCAGGUUCCCAGGUCCAGACCCACAGGCCAACUGCAGGCCAUGCUAACAAUGUUAUACUGCUAUCUGGUAUCCUAAGUUUGCCGCCCAGGGACUUACAGAGAGCGUUAGUGUGAUCAUUUCGGCAGGUGUGAGAAGCCACGGGGCACCCUACGGGGAACAGGGGAUUCAGACAAGGGAGUGGAAGAGGCAGUCAAGAACCACCAGGGACGCAGCUGACCUGAGGAAGUGCCCGGGAAGUACUUUCAAACAUUUUAGCUUAUAAAUUUAACGUGGCACUGCAGCAACCUUUCUCUAACUGCCGCAGAGGAAUAGAACGCUACUAUUAUAUUUUAUCUUCUUUUAGCUGGUAAAAUACCCAAAUCCCCGGCUUGUGAUAUCCCCUUCAUUUCCGUAUCCCAAAGGUGGGCACAUGCUGGGCAUGAACUCUCCUUUGGAGAAGAGAUCGAUUGUGUGUGUCUCCUUUUUGAGAAACCAGCUUUACUUUUGUUUACAUAAAGAGGAAACAAACAAACCACAAUGCUGAAGGAAUCUGAGCAAAUAAUUCACAGGUCACUAAGCGACGCACGGAGGCUGGUGGGCACAGAUGAGGGCGGAGUUUGAACGUGCUGGCCCACUGGGCCCUACUUGACUGGAAAAAGAAUGGAAAAGCAGAAUGCAACUGACGUCUUGCUAAAAUGCAGGUGGUCUAGAUAAUUUCAGAGAGGCAGAGAUCUAAUACAUUGUAAUCCUAUCAGCACAUGAUUAAAUGUUUUUGGCUAAAAAACGCAAAAAAUAUUUAUUGAUUUAACUCAAAACCUGAGUACCUUAUAACAUUUGGCUUCUAGUAAAUAAAACAUCUGCUCUUAACUCAUUUUUGUAAAAAAAACAAAGACCAAAAAAACAAAACAAAAACCAAAACCCGAGACAAAUAUUGGCAUGUAGGCGAACACCUACCUCUCUGUAUGUCUUAAAAUACUUUGAAAGCAAACCUGACAACCAUUUUAAGACCCUUCUUGGAAGUCCAUUUGUGUUUUAUUUUAUUCUGUUUCUUGGGGUGGGAGUCUAGGUGCAUUUAUAAAAGCCAAAGGGGCCUUUCAGGUUUCUUCAACAUACUAGAGAAAAUAGGAAGUAAAGUUACUGGAAAAAUUAUAAACUUUCCUGAGUUCCAUGAACAGAAACCUCCCCAAACUGGAAAACAUGAGGACUUGUGGCUGAUUCCCACAGCAUGCAGAGGACAGAAUUUUUCAGUAAUGGGACUUAAUCCAUGCAUUAAGUGUCUGCUAUGGGUCGAUUAAGCACUUCAUGGAUGGAAGUUCAAGGAAAUAUUCCAUUUUCAACUUGAACUGAGGUCCCAUCUCUUACAAGGCCUACAAUCCUUCAUGGAGAUUAUACACAGAAACCAUUUUGAAAACACAUAAUGUAGUCUAAAAGGCAGAAACAAUGAAAGAUGAAGAUAAGGAAAACAUAAUACUUGCUUUAUGACCUAAGGGAAGCUUUCCAUGUAAAAGAGUACAGAAUUCUGUUACGCAAACCUUGAGGAGGAAGCCAGUGGACUUCCCAGAGCAGGUCCUGCCGUCACAGCCCGAUGUCCAAACACCCCACCAGCAGCCUCCAGAGGGUCUGCUGAGUGACUUCAGGUCUGAAUACAUUUCCUUAUCAGAAAUAACCUUCCAUAUCGGGGGAAGGCGGGGGGGGGGGGGGUCUUUCCCCCAACCACUCGAGAGUCCAAAAUCAGGGUUGGUCUCCUAACAGAAACAAGAGGCGAAGACACCAGUGCCAGGCUCCCUUCUGUGCAACAGACCUCUUGAAAAUAAGACUGUGCUGGUGCCCAGAUAAGGACAAUGCCACUCGGAGGUUUACCCAGCUGGAACCACUGGAAUUUCUGUUUACACAGCUAAGGCCUAGGACACUGAGGUGCAAAGAGAAAGCUGCAUAUGGCAUGAGCAGGAUGAGGUGCUUCCCAGGGUGCAGGGUAGACCAACUGAAACCAGUCACUCUUUAUUUCUGCUGCGGCAACUUGAGACCCAUUCCAAAGUCAGUACAGCACGUGACAACCAGAACGUCUGCAGCCGUUCACCCUCUAAACAGCACGCAGAAAAGCAUCCGGCUCCCCUUCCCUUCUGUUUAAUCACAUCGGCACCUUCUGGGACCACCUGGGUUGCCGUGUUGGGACCUCAGGAGCCCAGAGCUCUGAAGGAUGUGCGGGAAGCAGACGGGGCUCUUCCUGACAGUGGUGUGCCCUGAUGACAAAUGCCAUGGGCUCUGUUUCUGGACUCGUGGUGGAUCGUGCACCGCAAGUUCACGGACUCCUCAAAUGGGCCUGGCCUCUCAAAGUAAACAAAAACCAAAAGAGCUGCAUUUUCUCUCCCCUGGCGCCAUCCGGAAGCAUGAAAGGGACUGGGAAGCUAUGAGGUGUGUGGGUGGCACACUGCCCCAAGCAGCUGUGCUAUGGGGCCUUAGAAAGCAUGCUGUCUCCACACGGACCACAAUAUGGUGAUGAGGCAGUGGUGGGCGAUUAAGGUAAGAGUGCAGGACGAGGUACACCACCUCUUGCAGAAAGGCAGGUGCCAUCUUUCAAGGGAGCGAUCAGAAUCGAUUUGGCAUGUGGCCCAGAUCAGCUGCACUCUGUUAGAAGAGCUGUAACUGUACUGACCCAAGUGAGCACUCACGCUGUGUCGACUUAAGUACCCUCACCGGGGUGUGUGUGUGUGUGUGUGUGUGUGUGUGUGUGUGUGUGUGUGUGACUUAACUGUAUGUCUUAGAGAUGAGGAAUUAAGUAUUUGCUAUGUUUGAUUCCUGGGCGGAGUUAAAUACACAACGAUCAACAGGUGUUCCAAAGAGAUACUAUUGAUAUUUGUAAUCUCUAAGGAGAGAUAGCUAAACAAGUUAACAUUAUCAUGAACAGAAAACUAAACAAAAAUGAAUGCUGUAUAAUAGACUGACUUGAUAGAAACUAUAGAUACCGCCGCUAUUAAGGAGAAAUAUUAUUCAUCAUCUUCUAAUUGAAGAUCACAAUAGAGAGGAAAUAGAAUGAUAACCAUCGCAACCAGUGGAGUGUGCCAAGCCGCCUUGAUUCCACAUAAAAGCUCUACCUCAAAUAUUUAUAUAUAAUAAAUAUAAAAAUAGCUAAUCUCUAAUCAGUCUGCAGGAAAAUCAUUUUCACAGACUCUGAAAGAUAUGGGAUACUUAGCGACACUUAAAAGAUACUAGACUUAAAGAUAUAUAAUCGGGGUAUCUUAACUUUGUUCACAUCACACGUACACAUUUUAUAACUUGUAUGUACACUUUCAUAACCUACAAAUACACAAUUUCAUACCUCUCAUAUAUAAAUACACACACAAAUACACGCAAGCGACUAACCUUUGACAAAAACUUCUCAAGUGAAAAAGAUGCACGGACUCACAGAUUUCCAGCCAGCAAACAGGACUUUAAAUAUCUGACCUCAAAUAUUUUCUAAAGUAACACAUGGUUACAAAGAAAUAAAUACAUAGCUGCCAAACCCUAAAUUUCGAAACGAUAUUGUAUGCACUAAGUAAUAACAGGACUGGGCCAACACAGGGGCUGCCUACCCGAGAAUGGUCCCGUUCAGACUGGCUCGAUCGAGGGGCACACCUGUGCAUCUGAAUGUCCAAAGUCAAGAGCAGGCGUGAUGCUGCAACAAUAUAGGCUUGGAGACCCCACAAGCUGAAUUCAGAAAAAUCUUCAUGACGAAUGUAGCGCUCUUGAUAGUAUUUGCCCGGGAAUGACUAAACCCCUGCACGUGGUUGAGGGUCCACUGGAAUGCUGACGGUGCCCCGCACAGAAGCCGUCUGGCCCUCGGCAGAAGCAUCACCGACACGAACAUCAGAGCAGAGCGAGGGGGAUGCGGUCAGGGCAUCACCCUCAGGGCAGGCAUCCCCACAGGCACUGACUGUGUGAGGGCUGGAUUGUUAACUGUCCUGGAGGAGGGAUGG